CAGGGAUUUGGAAGUCCUUUAAACAAAUAUCUCUAUAUUGUGGUUGGUCUCCUCGUGGCUAUGCUCCUGUGAAAACUGUGGCGAUAUGGUUUUGGGUCUACUUUCAAAAUGCUUGGUUGGGAGGUGGGAAGGUAUGUUUAGCACUGGGCGGCAGCAGGAGAAGAGAAAGUUCCUAUCUUUAUCACUUAUCUUCAUCAGCGCUUCUAAAUAUGGGGAGAUGUUUCCCAAAGUUUUAUUUGUAACCUACAUGUAACCCCAAGAGUUUAAAUUUGGUGGAUCAUAGUGUUUUCGAUGAUAGGAAUAUGGGGUUCGCAGAUGAAAGUUUUUUCCACAAGAGCAUCCUCCAUAGCAUCAAUCAUGGAAGAUUUUGUAUAGCACAUUUCUCAAAUGCAUUGCACGCCAGGAGGAAAUCAUGGCAG
rnacentral:sRNA from 2 species